AGAGGCCUUCAGAUACUGUUUU
rnacentral:miRNA from 1 species